UACGUAGGUGGCAAGCGUUGUCCGGAUUUACUGGGCGUAAAGAGCGCGCAGGCGGUCGUUCAAGUCGCGUGUGAAAGCCCCCGGCUCAACUGGGGAGGGUCACGCGAUACUGAUCGACUCGAAGGCAGGAGAGGGUAGUGGAAUUCCCGGUGUAGUGGUGGAAUGCGUAGAUAUCGGGAGGAACACUAGUGGCGAAGGCGGCUUCCUGGCGCGAUUCUGACGCUGAGGUGCGAAAGCGUGGGGGAGCGAUCCGG
rnacentral:rRNA from 1 species